AUCUAAACCUGAUUGACGCGGAAAUCCUUUUUUGUAGCCCCCCGGCGCAGCCAGGCGCAAAAAAGAUUGAAGCAGAAAGCAGGAACGAAC
rnacentral:sRNA from 1 species